GUCUGGUUAGCUCAGUUGGUAGAGUGUGGGACUCUUAAUCCAAGGGUCAUGGGUUUGAGACUCAUUUUGGACA
rnacentral:tRNA from 1 species